CUCUUUGUUGCCAAUGGCGCUCUGCUUUCUGAUUCACAACAGUCUGCUACCUUUCCGAUAUCCUACCAUAUAUGUUUACAAUUUCUACUAUUAUUUAGUUCUGAAUUAUUAGUAGUGUUGUCAGAUAGUUUAGCUGAUGAGCUAGACUAAUGGAUUCGGUGUUGUGAUGUUUUUGAACUGUGAACCGGGCAGGAAGAGAGACACACUCAUGAGCUAGCCGCUAGGUUAGCCUGUCAGCUGACGAGCUAUCUAACGUUAACUAUAAAUCAACAUCAAAGUUGUAUUUUUUUAUUUAUUUGUGUAUUAUUAUUAUUAUUAGUGCUAGAUAACUCGCUAGUGAUGCAGCGAACCAGGGCAUGGAUGGUUAGCUAGCGUUCAACUUCGGCUACUGGAGACGACAUGUGGACAGACACGGAAGCAGCACGUUACCCAGCUGUGAAGGAUAUUUUCUACAUGUUGUGGAUGAAGCCGACACGUUUCACUCUACAUAUGAAUCCUAACAGCCGCUCUCCUCCAUCCUUACUCUCAAACCUCCUGUACCUGGAGAAAACGGGACCGCAAUGAUCGCAGCUGCCAUGGUGACCACCAGAGCAGGUGGUAACCAUGGAGAGUGAAAGAGGAGGAGGAGGAGGUGGAGAGGAGACGGUCAGGACGAAGGUGGAAAGGGUGGGAACUCCUCUUCUACCCCGGCCAGAGGAUGGAGGGAUCGAUGGACAGAUGAGAGUGGGAGCUGGCAAUGUUCCACAGCUCAUUGGUCAACAUCGUCCAACGCAUCAUCACCACGCGAAUCGCACGCCGUGAUCGGGAGGGAGGGAGGGAGGGAGGGGGGCGGGGUCAUCCAGGACGAACUCCACCUGUUUCCAGCUGGCACGGAUGGACCACUUCCUCCACGAGCUGUUCCACCCGUUCUCCUCUCUCCAAGGAAGCCUUUGACCAGCUGGUCAUCUACGACCCUCCGGCCGCCGACCUACGAGGACGGUAUGACAUCAUCAACCAGUGACACUGACCUCUCUGUCACCUCCAUCUCAGAGGAAGAGGAAGAGGAGGGUGGGUCGGAGGGACGGAAAGAGAGAGACGGCAGCAGAAAGUAGCGCAUUGUCGGUAACAGGAAGUAGGAGUGGAAGGGAGGAAGAGGGGAGCCGGGAGGGAAGGAAGAGGGGAGC